rnacentral:rRNA from 1 species
CGGUUGAUCCUGCCGGACCCCACUGCUAUCGGGAUAGGACUAAGACAUGCUAGUCGAGCGCCUCCCAAGCUUUGUGGAGACGCGGCGCACGGCUCAGUAACACGUGGCUAACCUGCCCUUGGGACGGGAAUAACCCCGGGAAACUGGGGCUAAUUCCCGAUAGGUGAGAAACUCUGGAAUGAUUUCUUCGCCCAAAAAACGCUAAAACCAUUCUUUUUAGCGUUCCCCAAGGAUGGAGCCGCGUCCGAUCAGGUAGUUGGUGAGGCAACGGCUCACCAAGCCUUUAACCGGUGCGGGCCGUGAGAGCGGGAGCCCGGAGAUGGGCACUGAGAUAAGGGCCCAGGCCCUACGGGGCGCAGCAGUCGCGAAAACUCUGCAAUACACGAAAGUGUGACAGGGCUAUCCCGAGUGCCUUCCGCUGAGGAAGGCUUUUACCCAGUUUAGAAAGCUGGAAGAAUAAGGAGAGGGCAAGCCUGGUGUCAGCCGCCGCGGUAAUACCAGCUCUCCGAGUGGUGUGGAUGUUUAUUGGGCCUAAAGCAUCCGUAGCUGGCCAAGCUAGUCCCCUGUUAAAUCCAACGAAUUAAUCGUUGGAGUGCGGGGGAUACUGCUUGGCUAGGGGGCGGGAGAGGCCGACGGUAUUCCCGGGGUAGGGGUGAAAUCCUAUAAUCCCGGGAAGACCACCAGUGGCGAAGGCUGUCGGCUAGAACGCGCCCGACGGCGAGGGAUGAAAGCUGGGGGAGCGAACCGGAUUAGAUACCCGGGUAGUCCCAGCUGUAAACGAUGCAGGCUAGGUGUUAGGGCGGCCACGGGCCGCUCUAGUGCCGCAGGGAAGCCGUUAAGCCUGCCGCCUGGGGAGUACGGCCGCAAGGCUGAAACUUAAAGGAAUUGGCGGGGGAGCAC